UAAGGAAUAUUGGUCAAUGGACGCAAGUCUGAACCAGCCAUGCCGCGUGAAGGAAGACGGCCCUACGGGUUGUAAACUUCUUUUGUACGGGAAAAAAUCUCCGGUCGUGAAUCGGAGCUGAUUGUACCGUAAGAAUAAGCAUCGGCUAACUCCGUGCCAGCAGCCGCGGUAAUACGGAGGAUGCAAGCGUUCUCCGGAUUCCUUGGGUUUAAAGGGUGCGCAGGCGGAAUGAUAAGUCAGUGGUGAAAUCCUACGGCUCAACUGUAGAACUGCCAUUGAUACUGUCGUGCUUGAGUACAGUUGGAGUGGGCGGAAUGUGUCAUGUAGCGGUGAAAUGCUUAGAUAUGACACAGAACACCGAUCGCGAAGGCAGCUCACUAAAUUGUAACUGACGCUCAGGCACGAAAGCGUGGGGAUCAAACA
rnacentral:rRNA from 1 species